AUUGAACGCUGGCGGCAGGCCUAACACAUGCAAGUCGAGCGGAUGAAGGGAGCUUGCUCCUGGAUUCAGCGGCGGACGGGUGAGUAAUGCCUAGGAAUCUGCCUGGUAGUGGGGGAUAACGUCCGGAAACGGGCGCUAAUACCGCAUACGUCCUGAGGGAGAAAGUGGGGGAUCUUCGGACCUCACGCUAUCAGAUGAGCCUAGGUCGGAUUAGCUAGUUGGUGGGGUAAAGGCCUACCAAGGCGACGAUCCGUAACUGGUCUGAGAGGAUGAUCAGUCACACUGGAACUGAGACUCGGUCCAGACUCCUACGGGAGGCAGCAGUGGGGAAUAUUGGACAAUGGGCGAAAGCCUGAUCCAGCCAUGCCGCGUGCGUGAAGAAGGUCUUCGGAUUGUAAAGCACUUUAAGUUGGGAGGAAGGGCAGUAAGUUAAUACCUUGCUGUUUUGACGUUACCAACAGAAUAAGCACCGGCUAACUUCGUG
rnacentral:rRNA from 1 species